rnacentral:lncRNA from 1 species
CAAAACAGUAAACACUUAACACUAAGUAUAGAAGGUAGAAUCACAACGAACUGAGAUAGCAAUCCUAUGCCUCAACUAACUUCUCCAGCAAGACCUUCCAAUUAAACUCCUACUAGUGUUGUUAUCUCAGAUUCCCAAAACUUCUUGAGUCUUUGGACAAAGACCAACCACAGUAGGUUUUGUUAGUGCAAGGUAAAUCAAGGGAAAAAUUAGGAGACCCUACUGUAAAGAUUAAUUACAGAAUGCAGGAAAGAUCUCACCAAUGAGUUUACUACAGGUUUCAGGAAUCAGGUUUAAUCAAGAAAUCACAAAGCUCCAGUAGUCCAAGUUGCUCUGAUGUGGUUGAAAAGUCAAGAGAUACUAAUAUUAACCAAGAUUCCAAAACCACGAUCAUAAACUGAAAAUAGAGUGCAAAAAAUAAAAAUGAACACGGAGAAUUUUUCGACCAAAGCCCCAAAGGUUCGACGACCACUUCUAAUGCCUAAUCACAUGUUGAUCAUCCAUUAAAAUGGAUAAAACUCGGUUACACUGUAAAGCCCCAAAAUAGGCAGCAAAUAUACAAUAAUAUUCUAGAAAAUACAACAAAUAGUCACCAAGACUUAUCUUUAAAAUUAGGCACAAAUCAAGCCUCACUCCACUAAGGAUUCAAAACGCGAAUCACACAGAUCACCAAAACCAAACUACCAUCUUUGAACCACAGAAAAUGGGUGCUCUUUCACAAAAUAUUACUUUCCAACAAAGAACUAUACAAAUCAGCCUCUAUAUUAUACAAUAAUAGGCUAAAAAACACUGAGUUUUCGCAAUAAAAACCGCCCAACAAAGAGUCACAUAGAUUCGACUCAACCAAGACCAAAUUAGCACAAUACCCAUAUAGAUCUUGAAUAUUUCAUGCUGUUUUCUAAGAUUAUUUUCAGAAAAUUAACCCCUAAAAUCACAAAGAAAGAAGAGGUAGUCUUGCACAGGAAGAGAGAGAAAUAAAGAGCUCUUUUUCUUGAGAGUGAGAUGUCUGAAGGAGAGAGAGUGAGUGUGAC